UUACAAGGUUCCCUGGCCCUCGAAAGCUUCGGCCGAGGGGGCUACAGCCUGACUUAUAUACCCACCCUUUGCCUAUGUGUACCCCUAUUGCUUCCCUCGGCGGGUUCGCCCGCCGACAGGAGCCAACUAAACCCUUUGCAUUAUACAUUUAACACUUCUGAUACAAAACUAAAUUAUUA
rnacentral:misc_RNA from 1 species